UACGUGAAACCGUUCAGGGGUAAACCUGAGAAACCCAAAAGAUCGAAUGGGGAGAUUCAUCGUCAGCGGCGCUGGCUUCCAUGCGGUUCGCGAUGCUCGGGGCUUCGGCUCCGCGGCACGUGUCCGCUGUGGUAUGUCCGGCGUCGUCGGCGUGCACUUCUCCCCUAGUAGGACGUCGCGACCCGUUGGGUGUCGGUCUACGGCCUGGGUGGUCGCCUGUCACGUCGCUUCGGCGCACGUGGCAGACCCCCGGAUGCCCGACCGGCUGCCCGGCGGUACUCGCACGGUAUCGAGCCGCACUUGACUGCGUCAGGCCCGUCGCAAGCGCGGCCAGUGAUACCCGGAGGCGCGGACCUAGUGCCGUCCCCGGGCCUGGCCAGCUGUUGGUUGACGGUGUCCUCGGACAGGCUCUGUUGAAAUGAUACCGGUCGGCGACGCUACUGCUUUGGGUACUUUCAGGACCCGUCUUGAAACACGGACCAAGGAGUCUAACAUGUGCGCGAGUCAUUGGGACCGCAAGCCUAAAGGCGUAAUGAAAGUGAAGGUCGGCCUUGCGCCGACCGAGGGAGGAUGGGUCGCGUUACGAUGCGGCCCCGCACUCCCGGGGCGUCUCGUACUCAUUGCGAGUUGAGGCGCACCCAGAGCGUACACGUUGGGACAAGAAAGAUGGUGAACUAUGCCUGGUCAGGACGAAGUC
rnacentral:rRNA from 1 species